AAAGAUGAGAGAGAUGUUGUCCAUGAUCAGAGACAUUGUCCCAUGCUUCGUAGAGACCUUGCGAUAGAAUCGGCGGAGACGGGGGUCACCGAUUUGACGGCACUGCCCGCGAUCGUGGAGACAUUGUCGAUGAUCACAGAGACAGCGUCUAUGAUCUCAGAGACAUCGUCCACGAUCACAAAGGCAUUGUCCGUGAUUGCAGAGACUUUGUCCAUAAUCUCAGAGACAUUGUCCGCGAUCACAGAGACGUAGUCCACGAUCACAUAGAGUCUUCGUAAAAUGAAGAAGUUCUUUGAGACCAGGACAGAGGCCUCCAGGUGUCACCACUUCGUCUACGAUCACAGAGACAUGGUCCAUGAUCGGAGAGACAUUGUUGAGGAUGAGGGAGACAUCGUCCACGAUCAGAGACGCUGUCCACGAUCGCAGAGACCUUGUCAAAGAUGAGAGAGACGUUGUCCGUGAUCAGAGACAUUGUCCCAUGCUUCGUAGAGACCUUGCGAUAGAAUCGGCGGAGACGGGGGUCACCGAUUUGACGGCACUGCCCGCGAUCGUGGAGACAUUGUCGAUGAUCACAGAGACAGCGUCUAUGAUCUCAGAGACAUCGUCCACGAUCACAAAGGCAUUGUCCGUGAUUGCAGAGACUUUGUCCAUAAUCUCAGAGACAUUGUCCGCGAUCACAGAGACGUAGUCCACGAUCACAUAGAGUCUUCGUAAAAUGAAGAAGUUCUUUGAGACCAGGACAGAGGCCUCCAGGUGUCACCACUUCGUCUACGAUCACAGAGACAUGGUCCAUGAUCGGAGAGACAUUGUUGAGGAUGAGGGAGACAUCGUCCACGAUCAGAGACGCUGUCCACGAUCGCAGAGACCUUGUCAAAGAUGAGAGAGACGUUGUCCGUGAUCAGAGACAUUGUCCCAUGCUUCGUAGAGACCUUGCGAUAGAAUCGGCGGAGACGGGGGUCACCGAUUUGACGGCACUGCCCGCGAUCGUGGAGACAUUGUCGAUGAUCACAGAGACAGCGUCUAUGAUCUCAGAGACAUCGUCCACGAUCACAAAGGCAUUGUCCGUGAUUGCAGAGACUUUGUCCAUAAUCUCAGAGACAUUGUCCGCGAUCACAGAGACGUAGUCCACGAUCACAUAGAGUCUUCGUAAAUGAAGAAGUUCUUUGAGACCAGGACAGAGGCCUCCAGGUGUCACCACUUCGUCUACGAUCACAGAGACAUGGUCCAUGAUCGGAGAGACAUUGUUGAGGAUGAGGGAGACAUCGUCCACGAUCAGAGACGCUGUCCACGAUCGCAGAGACCUUGUCAAAGAUGAGAGAGACGUUGUCCGUGAUCAGAGACAUUGUCCCAUGCUUCGUAGAGACCUUGCGAUAGAAUCGGCGGAGACGGGGGUCACCGAUUUGACGGCACUGCCCGCGAUCGUGGAGACAUUGUCGAUGAUCACAGAGACAGCGUCUAUGAUCUCAGAGACAUCGUCCACGAUCACAAAGGCAUUGUCCGUGAUUGCAGAGACUUUGUCCAUAAUCUCAGAGACAUUGUCCGCGAUCACAGAGACGUAGUCCACGAUCACAUAGAGUCUUCGUAAAAUGAAGAAGUUCUUUGAGACCAGGACAGAGGCCUCCAGGUGUCACCACUUCGUCUACGAUCACAGAGACAUGGUCCAUGAUCGGAGAGACAUUGUUGAGGAUGAGGGAGACAUCGUCCACGAUCAGAGACGCUGUCCACGAUCGCAGAGACCUUGUCAAAGAUGAGAGAGACGUUGUCCGUGAUCAGAGACAUUGUCCCAUGCUUCGUAGAGACCUUGCGAUAGAAUCGGCGGAGACGGGGGUCACCGAUUUGACGGCACUGCCCGCGAUCGUGGAGACAUUGUCGAUGAUCACAGAGACAGCGUCUAUGAUCUCAGAGACAUCGUCCACGAUCACAAAGGCAUUGUCCGUGAUUGCAGAGACUUUGUCCAUAAUCUCAGAGACAUUGUCCGUGAUCACAGAGACGUAGUCCACGAUCACAUAGAGUCUUCGUAAAAUGAAGAAGUUCUUUGAGACCAGGACAGAGGCCUCCAGGUGUCACCACUUCGUCUACGAUCACAGAGACAUGGUCCAUGAUCGGAGAGACAUUGUUGAGGAUGAGGGAGACAUCGUCCACGAUCAGAGACGCUGUCCACGAUCGCAGAGACCUUGUCAAAGAUGAGAGAGACGUUGUCCGUGAUCAGAGACAUUGUCCCAUGCUUCGUAGAGACCUUGCGAUAGAAUCGGCGGAGACGGGGGUCACCGAUUUGACGGCACUGCCCGCGAUCGUGGAGACAUUGUCGAUGAUCACAGAGACAGCGUCUAUGAUCUCAGAGACAUCGUCCACGAUCACAAAGGCAUUGUCCGUGAUUGCAGAGACUUUGUCCAUAAUCUCAGAGACAUUGUCCGCGAUCACAGAGACGUAGUCCACGAUCACAUAGAGUCUUCGUAAAAUGAAGAAGUUCUUUGAGACCAGGACAGAGGCCUCCAGGUGUCACCACUUCGUCUACGAUCACAGAGACAUGGUCCAUGAUCGGAGAGACAUUGUUGAGGAUGAGGGAGACAUCGUCCACGAUCAGAGACGCUGUCCACGAUCGCAGAGACCUUGUCAAAGAUGAGAGAGACGUUGUCCGUGAUCAGAGACAUUGUCCCAUGCUUCGUAGAGACCUUGCGAUAGAAUCGGCGGAGACGGGGGUCACCGAUUUGACGGCACUGCCCGCGAUCGUGGAGACAUUGUCGAUGAUCACAGAGACAGCGUCUAUGAUCUCAGAGACAUCGUCCACGAUCACAAAGGCAUUGUCCGUGAUUGCAGAGACUUUGUCCAUAAUCUCAGAGACAUUGUCCGCGAUCACAGAGACGUAGUCCACGAUCACAUAGAGUCUUCGUAAAAUGAAGAAGUUCUUUGAGACCAGGACAGAGGCCUCCAGGUGUCACCACUUCGUCUACGAUCACAGAGACAUGGUCCAUGAUCGGAGAGACAUUGUUGAGGAUGAGGGAGACAUCGUCCACGAUCAGAGACGCUGUCCACGAUCGCAGAGACCUUGUCAAAGAUGAGAGAGACGUUGUCCGUGAUCAGAGACAUUGUCCCAUGCUUCGUAGAGACCUUGCGAUAGAAUCGGCGGAGACGGGGGUCACCGAUUUGACGGCACUGCCCGCGAUCGUGGAGACAUUGUCGAUGAUCACAGAGACAGCGUCUAUGAUCUCAGAGACAUCGUCCACGAUCACAAAGGCAUUGUCCGUGAUUGCAGAGACUUUGUCCAUAAUCUCAGAGACAUUGUCCGUGAUCACAGAGACGUAGUCCACGAUCACAUAGAGUCUUCGUAAAAUGAAGAAGUUCUUUGAGACCAGGACAGAGGCCUCCAGGUGUCACCACUUCGUCUACGAUCACAGAGACAUGGUCCAUGAUCGGAGAGACAUUGUUGAGGAUGAGGGAGACAUCGUCCACGAUCAGAGACGCUGUCCACGAUCGCAGAGACCUUGUCAAAGAUGAGAGAGACGUUGUCCGUGAUCAGAGACAUUGUUCCAUGCUUCG